rnacentral:tRNA from 1 species
AAAGGGAGACCUAAUUCGGGUAUAAGACGAAAAAAUAGUAGUCGAAACCAAGAAUCAAUCCCAAAAGGUCGGAACGAGGUAUGUGGCUUUCAAACUAGGUUCUGGGUUCAUAAAAGACCUGAAUCAGGAACAAGGGCUAUUAGCUCAGGUGGUUAGAGCGCACCCCUGAUAAGGGUGAGGUCCCUGGUUCGAGUCCAGGAUGGCCCACCUGCACAGGUGGUAAAAACAAGAGAAGCGAGGAAUCAGCACCUUAUCUUACUUACAUAGUAAGAGAGAAUGCUGGCUCUGAGUAAAGAGUCCAGAGGAACCUUGAAAUCUGCAUAGAGCUAGGUGAAAAAGCCAAAAAAGAAGACCGCAAG